AAGGAAGAAGAAGAAGAGAGAAGAAGUGCUGGAGGACUUCACAUUUUGUCAUGUUGUUGUUCUGUAAACGUUGGAUGAUAUCUUGUUUUCUUGUACCGGCUGUUGGUGGCUUAUUUGCGGCUUCUUUAAUUUCUUUUCUAAUUUUGCAUAUUGUUCCUUUCGAUUUCCCUGUCGCUGCGGCCGCACGCUUUGUUGCAUUACAUAAUGGAUGGGUAAGUUUGCCUGAUCCAUUCCCCUGAUCACAAAAUGCAAUCACAUUGCUAAUCACUUCCCUGCACUGGCUAUGUAUAGUUUUGUAUUUUGUUUUACUGCCCGAUGCCAUUUGUCAAUAUACGUUAUAUUACAGUCGCGCACGCUUCGAAACCUUGCUCCGCUUUCAAAGGAUCCGUGAAAUACUUGAACACCGAUACGACCGUGUCCGCGCACUGUCUCGUGACUUAUGGUAACAACUCUACUUGCCGUCCCACCCGUGACAUGACGCGCCUGACCCUUGAGGCGGACUAGGGAAAGGGAGGGGACAGUGUGGCGGAGGGAGGGGUCCGUCUGACCUUGGGUAGUUCACAUUUUUCCCGGGACCACAGUUGGCUUGGGCGUGUAGUAGGGAAAACGAAGGUGGUGAGGUUCACGAGGAAGAGAAGGGUGGAGGGAAAAGUGUACUGCUGGAAGGGACAGGUGAUCCAGGAAGCUGAGGAGUAUAAAUACCUGGGAGUGAUCCUGCAGAACGACUUGGGGUGGGGAAAGCAGGUCAAGAAGGUGGUGAAGAAGGGCAGAAUGGGGUUAGGGCUGCUUAGCAGGACACUGAAAGGGACAGGUAGGAAUGUAAAGGAAAAGGCGUACGCGACAUUGGUACGGUCAGUGUUGGAGUAUGCCGCGGCGGUGUGGAGAAGGAAAUUGAGGAGUUGGAGAGGGUGCAGCGCAAGGCAGCGAGAUGGGUGAUGAAUAUGUGGAGGAGAAGGGAAGGCGAAGGCAGGAUGGGGGAAACACACAGACCAUCGGUGAUGAUGAAGGAACUGGGGUGGGACACGCUGCAAGAAAGGAGGAAGGUGGAAAGGCUGGCUAGAAUGGGGGGAGGGGGCUGGGGAAAGCUGGGAGCUAGGUUGCACAGAGGGCUGUAUCAAGGAAGGAGGGAUCAUGAGUGGAAGAUUCAGAGGGAGUGGAGACGGACAGAGAGAGGAAGACAGGUAUUCCUUGUGAGGACGGGGCGAGAGUGGAACGAGCUUGAAGGGAGGACACUGGAUGUGGGAGGAGGGAAGGACUUACAAAGGAGGCUCCGGAGGGGGGAGUGAGGGUAGUUUGGGGGUGGGAACUCCUUGCCACCGGGCGGAUGCCCAAUAGCAGGUGUACAUUAUUAUUAUUAAAACGGACUUAGUUUUGAACCAAAUGAAAGCCACUGGAGAUCAAUGCAAGUAACGUCACAGCAAAAAGAAAUGAUGUCCAGCAGAAAAGGUGUAGGGGACAAAGCCAAAACUACUUUGAAGAAGCGUCGCCAGACAGAAAGGCUUCAUGCAAUGGCAACGAGUGAGGGCAGCCUCAGACGGAGGAAAUAACAACGGUGAUGCCCUCUAUGCAGUGCUAUGGUGUCGGCGUGGGGGAACAAUGCAGUCCGUCUCUUGGAUGCCAGGGUUGCCUCCAGAGCCACAGCUGUUUCUGCAGAAGUGGCAGUUGCUCGAUACACUGCUGGGCCCACUGCAUGCCAGAAGUUAGGUAAUCCUGAUGGAAUGUUUUCUGCUCUUAAACUGCCAGCCAGCUAGAAGGACUCCUGGUAAAGUCCGCCCACCUGGAAGGUAGAAGUCCUGAAGAGAAUUGAAAAAAAAAUUUGAAGAAAUUUAGAAUGCGCCGUGAAAUUCAUGCAUCUCAAAAUUAGGUGAUGAGUGGAACAUACAUGUUAUGUGGCAGGUCACGAAUAAAUUCUUACUCAAUGUUCAAUGUA